AGAAUCAACGCUGGCGGCGUGCCUAACACAUGCAAGUCGAACGCGAAAGGGGAGCAAUCCCUGAGUAGAGUGGCAAACGGGUGAGUAACACGUGGGUGACCUGCCUUCGAGCGGGGGAUAACGUCCCGAAAGGGACGCUAAUACCGCAUAACAUCCUGGUCUUGGACGACCGGUGAUCAAAGCUGGGGAUUCGCAAGAACCUGGCACUUGAAGAGGGGCCCGCGCCUGAUUAGCUAGUUGGUGAGGUAACGGCUCACCAAGGCUACGAUCAGUA
rnacentral:rRNA from 1 species